GGGAUGAUGCCCAUUGAUGAUCUAAAGAAUAUUGUGUACCUGCUUACAGAUUUGUCGUGUUUGAAUAUAAUUUUUAAAUGUUUUCACUAAAAAGAACCUGGCCCCUUUAAUAAAGGAGCAGUAUGUGCCAGCCAUCCUGAGACUGGUGGGGAAAACUGCUAGAAGCCUAUGACAUAGCUCAGCAAUAAACAAACUCCCAUGUGGAUAUAAAUAACUUAUCACAAACACCAGAACCAGUGGAGAAAAGGCUGCCAAACCUCAGGCUCAAAUGGCACUUGGGACAGGUCAUGUUAGAAAAGAGCCAUAACCAGAAAUACACCAGAACUCCAGAAUAGAGAAGGUCACAGGACAAGUCUCAACAAAAUUACCCUUGUUUGGAGAACUUCAAAAAAUUAUCAGAUGAGAACUCACAGAAGGCCAGCAAACUCCACACAGUCAUGCAACCAGAGCCUCAGACAAUGGCCCCUUCUGCUGAGGACCCUUAAAUAAGCUUCUGAGGGAGACUGCCGUUUUCCCAAAACAGCGCCCCCUGUCAGCAGGAAGCAGUUAAGAUCAGUCUUCGUCCUUAUCCUUAUCCUUAUUCUAAUGGCAGUUAGAUGUACUUCUUCAGAGUGGCAGAAUUAGGUAGCCAAGUAAGAAGCGCCCCCUGGCAGAACCUCUGACCAGCUUGCCCACUGGGAGGAGUGCGCACUGGGGUGGAACGUUGGAAAGUUCACACCAUUUGCAUGGGGGAGGAGCCUGGCCUCUCCUGAUGUGGGGCGGUAACCUGGGAUUCAAUCUGUGAGGUGGGAAGCCAGCUAGCGAGACUCUCACUUCGCCGAGUGUCUCUGUUUCCCUUUUUUCCUUUUCACCCAAUAAAUUCCAUUUUUCUCACCCUUCAAAUUGUCUGCGGGGCUAAUCUUUGAUGGUCAAGUGACAAGAACCUGGCUUUUAGCUGAACUAAGGAGAAAGUCCUACAACAAACAUUAGGAUAGUGCUGAGGGGAAAUGUGGGGUUGGAGCCCCCACACAGUCCCCACCAGGGCACUAUCUAGUGAAGCUGUGGCAAUGGGGCCACUGCCUCAAUAGCUAAGAAUGGUAGAGCCAUCAGUAGCUCGCACCCUGAGCCUGGAAAAGCCGCAGUCACUCAAAGCCAACAUGUGAGACCAGCCACAGGGGCUGACCUGUGAAAAGUCACAGAGGCAGAGCUGCCCAAGGCCUUGUGAGCCCACCCUUUGUACCAGUGUGCCCUGGAUGCAGAACAUGGAGUUAACAAGAUUAUUUUGGACAUUAAGUUUGAAUGUUUGCCCUGCUGUGUUUCAGACUUGCAUGGAGCCUGUUGCACCUUCCUUUUGGCCAAUUUCUCCCUUUUGGAAUGGGAAUGUUGACCCAAUGAUACUAUUAUACAAUGAUACUAUUGUAUUUUGGAAGUAAAUAACUUGUUUUUGAUCUGACAGGCUCAUAGGUGGAAGGAACUUACCCUGAGUCUCAAGUGAGGCUUUAGACUUUUGAGUUAAUGCUGAAAUGAUUAAGACUUUGGGGGACUAUUGCAAAGGGAUGAUGCAUAUUGCAAUGUGAGGAGGACAUAAGAUUUGGGGGGCCAGAGGUUAAAUGAUAUAGUU